rnacentral:rRNA from 1 species
GAUGAACGCUGGCGGCUUGCCUAAUACAUGCAAGUCGAGCGAACGGACGAGAAGCUUGCUUCUCUGAUGUUAGCGGCGGACGGGCGAGUAACACGUGGAUAACCUACCUAUAAGACUGGGAUAACUUCGGGAAACCGGAGCUAAUACCGGAUAAUAUUUUGAACCGCAUGGUUCAAAAGUGAAAGACGGUCUGGCUGUCACUUAUAGAUGGAUCAGCGCUGCAUUAGCUAGUUGGUAAGGUAACGGCUUACCAAGGCAACGAUGCAUAGCCGACCUGAGAGGGUGAUCGGCCACACUGGAACUGAGACACGGUCCAGACUCCUACGGGAGGCAGCAGUAGGGAAUCUUCCGCAAUGGGCGAAAGCCUGACGGAGCAACGCCGCGUGAGUGAUGAAGGUCUUCGGAUCGUAAAACUCUGUUAUUAGGGAAGAACAUAUGUGUAAGUAACUGUGCACAUCUUGACGGUACCUAAUCAGAAAGCCACGGCUAACUACGUG